CCUACGGGUGACAGCAGUGGGGAAUAUUGCACAAUGGGGGAAACCCUGAUGCAGCGACGCCGCGUGAGUGAAGAAGUAUUUCGGUAUGUAAAGCUCUAUCAGCAGGGAAGAAAAUGACGGUACCUGAUUAAGAAGCCCCGGCUAACUACGUGCCAGCAGCCGCGGUAAUACGUAGGGGGCAAGCGUUAUCCGGAUUUACUGGGUGUAAAGGGAGCGUAGACGGCAGCACAAGUCUGGAGUGAAAUGCCGGGGCUUAACCCCGGAACUGCUUUGGAAACUGUGCAGCUAGAGUGCAGGAGAGGUAAGUGGAAUUCCUAGUGUAGCGGUGAAAUGCGUAGAUAUUAGGAGGAACACCGAUUGCGAAGGCAGCCUGCCGGGGUGCGACUGACGCUGAGGCUCGAAGGUGCGGGUAUCAAACAGGAUUAGAUACCCGGGUAGUC
rnacentral:rRNA from 1 species